rnacentral:lncRNA from 1 species
AAAAAGGGGGGGUAAUUUUUUUUGAAAAGCUACAAUCUUCUGGAAAUCGACAGUGCUAAUAGAGACUACAAAUUAUAUGGAAAAAAAAAAUAAUAUUCGUUACUGCCUUUGAGGGUUCCGAACUGUUAAAGUUCAAAUCUGUUCCUAUUCACCCCGGUUCACGGUAUGCCUUCCACUACUGGUGAAAUGAGAAACUGAUUGGUUAAUGAUCAGUAAUUUUUCAUGAUUUCCUUAGCCCCUAGCAUCUGGGAAAAGCAGGACUCACUAGGACCUAUUGAGUACCUACAAUAGAAUUGCAAUGUACUGGAAUGUCGAUGAGGUCGAUUGCAAUAUGGCAAUACCACGCCAUAGCUCAAGUAUACGUCACACUCACAUUGGACCUGGUCUGUGGUUUCGUUCCGUUCCCGUUUGUUUAUGUUUGCUCAGACUGGCAGAUUGAUGAAAAUGAAUGAAUGUAAAGUACAAAAGUUUGGUGUUUCUCAAAUCUCAAUACAAUAAUUUUGCGACUCCUCACACAACAUGCAAAGAAGAACUUGAUCAGCAUAUUCAUCAGGCUGUGAGCAUUGAUAUCUGCGGUGACUGGUCUCAUCAUCUAGGCAUAGUGGAAGCUGACCGGUAGUGUACUGCGUUCGACUCAGACUCCGUCUGUCUCCUGUCAUCGUGGCAAUCUUUAAAUUAUUUGGAAAAGCCCUGGACAGGAGGUUAACGGCGAUUUUUCAUCAUCCAUGAUCUGCCGAAUUUAUGGAAUCAUAGUUGCGAUUAAAUCUCACAUUAGUCCAAUUCAUGCACCGAAUGUGGACUCCACUGAGAAAUACCUUCUGAGAGUUUAAUUUUUUUUCUCAAGUGCUUUGAUUGUGACAUUCUUUUAAAUUUAUUUUUUUCUUAAAAUGAGCCAUUCAAUAUUGGUUUAAACGUCGCUCAUGAGAAGUGGUGGUGAAAUAAAUGUAAUCAAACAGUGAUGAGUGUAGUGUGUGAACAUCUCUCCUUGGAACAUACUUAUUCUGAAGAAUGCUGAGUUUUGUGCUGAAGAUAAGCUUUUCCAUCAUCUAACCUGGGAGGAACUGAAAUGGGUGAGUUAUUUAUUCUAGGAAUUUCCUAGAUUAGUAUCUUGCCAAAGGAAGAGUAAAGAUUGCAUAUGAAUCUCAUAGCGGGCCGUAAGGAUCCUUAAAGGCAGCUUUGAGUCAACCUCCAAGUUUUGUUUGAUUUUUUUUCUUCGCAUAUACUCUGGAAAAAUAUUUUCACCAUAUACCCAAAAUCCUUUCCAAUGUCUGGCUAUUAUAUAUUCACCAAAUUCUGGUUGUGAAAAGUGAAUUGGAAAUUAGAUUCAAGUGAACUUAUAUUGCCGUCAUAAUGCACCCGUAACAUCUACAAUAAAAUUGCGCAUUGACAAAUGAAACCUUUCAUCCCAGUGAGUAACCUAAUUCUCACUAAAUAUUUUGCCCCCUGAAGUAUCUUGCGUGUUUCAUGUGUGGUUGUUUUGUGUAAGCGCUUUUGAAGCCAAAAUUUUGGAAAUUCUUUUGUUCAAUAAGUAGAGUUCCGUUCCGCAUGCCGUACAGGGAACACGGGUAGCUCAGAGCUCGUGAUUUUUUUGCGAAGUUUUGCGAAGUUUUUUCUUUUAUAGUGUUAUAUUGGGUGGAAAAUUAGCGUUUUUUGUGUUUUCGUGAUUGAGUUUUUAUUUAUGGAUUGUUAUUAAGUGGUUAGUUAAAGUAUGUUCGGGUAGUGAGUGAGUGGUGAGUGCAUGGUGACAGGAGUGCUUGGACAAAGGAACUGGUACACGUGUUUUUUCUUUUGUGGUAUCUUGAAAUUUUUUGAUAUAUCCUUAGGGUAAUUUAGAGAGUGAUGGCUAGUAGGAAAAUAGGGUUGGUGAAGGAAAAUGAAAGUGUGGGUGGUAAAGUUGAU